AUGGCGCCGCUGCUCAAGGACGAGCUGGACAUCGUCAUCCCGACGAUCCGGAACCUGGACUUCCUCGAGAUGUGGAGGCCCUUCUUCCAGCCGUACCACCUCAUCAUCGUGCAGGACGGCGACCCCACGAGGACCGUCAUGGUGCCCGAGGGCUUCGACUACGAGCUCUACAACCGCAACGACAUCAACCGCAUCCUCGGCCCCAAGGCCUCCUGCAUCUCCUUCAAGGACUCCGCCUGCCGCUGCUUCGGCUACAUGGUCUCCAAGAAGAAGUACGUCUACACCAUCGACGACGACUGCUUCGUGGCCAAGGACCCGACGGGGAAGGACAUUGACGCGCUGGCCAAGCACAUCCAGAACCUGCUCUGCCCCUCCACGCCGCUCUUCUUCAACACCCUGUACGACCCCUACCAGGAGGGCGCCGACUUCGUGCGCGGCUACCCGUUCAGCCUCCGGGAGGGCGUGCCCACCGCCGUGUCGCACGGCCUCUGGCUCAACAUCCCCGACUACGACGCCCCCACGCAGCUGGUCAAGCCGCGGGAGCGCAACGGCAGGUACGUCGACGCCGUCAUGACCAUCCCCAAGGGCUCCCUCUUCCCCAUGUGCGGCAUGAACCUCGCCUUCGACCGCGAGCUCAUCGGCCCGGCCAUGUACUUCGGCCUCAUGGGCGACGGCCAGCCCAUCGGACGCUACGACGACAUGUGGGCCGGCUGGUGCGUCAAGGUGAUCUGCGACCACCUUGGGCUGGGCGUCAAGACGGGGCUGCCCUACAUCUGGCACAGCAAGGCCAGCAACCCGUUCGUGAACCUGAAGAAGGAGUACAAGGGCAUCUUCUGGCAGGAGGACAUCAUCCCCUUCUUCCAGGCCGCGAAGCUGACCAAGGAAUGCGACACCGUGCAGAAGUGCUACAUCUCGCUCUCGCAGCAGGUCAAGGAGAAGCUCGGCAAGAUCGACCCCUACUUCGUCAAGCUCGCCGACGCCAUGGUCACCUGGAUCGAGGCCUGGGACAUGCUCAACUCCAAGGACUCCAAGGAGGCCGAUGCCAACGGCAAGCUCAAGGGGAGGUAG
rnacentral:rRNA from 1 species